UUUGGAUAUUUCAAAUAAGAAUGUUUUGGUAGCAGAAGACAUUGGCGAUAUCAGCAGAGCAACUGAAGAAGUUGAGGGAAAUAUGAUAGCAUAUGAAGGUAAUCCUGUUCUAGUGCCUGGCUUGAGUCCAUUAACAACAGUGUCAACUGAAGAAGAGAUGUUGAGUGAUGAUGAGAAUAGUACAAUUAAUGCAUUGAUUGGAGUCGAUGAAGCCUUAGAUCACAAUUUGUCUGAGGUAAUUGCCUGAUGAGUGUAUUGCUCUGCCCUUUCUGAUGAUUUAAGAAAAAUGGCAUAUAAAAUUAUUGCAAAUGGGACAAGAAUUAUCAAUGCUUGAUCAGUUAUUCUAAUAUAUAAAGCCUCAAAUGUAAAGGAAAGACUUCAAUGCUUUGAUCAGUACAGAAUUAUCAAUUACUUGCCCAUUUGACGAUCUGUGAUGCUUUGAUAUGAACUUUACAAUGAUAGGGUUAAGGGAGGCAAUAUGUAGUUUUCCCCUUGCAAAAUCUGCCAUGGUUGUUGGUAUUGCGGCUGAUAUAGUUAUGCCUUUUCCUUUGCGAUGUUAUUUUAAUGCCAGCAUAAUAAUGUUCAGUUAGAUGAGAAGCCAGAACCUGAAGGAGAACAAUCGGAAGAAGAAACAACUGCAGUAGCAAAGGACGAUGAGGAGCAGCUCAACCAGCAUAUUCAGG
rnacentral:lncRNA from 1 species